rnacentral:rRNA from 1 species
CCUACGGGGGGCAGCAGUGGGGAAUAUUGGACAAUGGGGGCAACCCUGAUCCAGCCAUGCCGCGUGUGUGAAGAAGGCCCUCGGGUUGUAAAGCACUUUCAGUGAGGAAGAACGCCUGGUGGUUAAUACCCAUCAGGAAAGACAUCACUCACAGAAGAAGCACCGGCUAACUCCGUGCCAGCAGCCGCGGUAAUACGGAGGGUGCGAGCGUUAAUCGGAAUUACUGGGCGUAAAGCGCGCGUAGGUGGCUUGAUAAGCCGGUUGUGAAAGCCCCGGGCGCAACCUGGGAACGGCAUCCGGAACUGUCAAGCUAGAGUGCAGGAGAGGAAGGUAGAAUUCCCGGUGUAGCGGUGAAAUGCGUAGAGAUCGGGAGGAAUACCAGUGGCGAAGGCGGCCUUCUGGACUGACACUGACACUGAGGUGCGAAAGCGUGGGUAGCAAACAGGAUUAGAUACCCCGGUAGUC